CUCCUACGGGGGGCAGCAGUAGGGAAUCUUCCACAAUGGGCGAAAGCCUGAUGGAGCAACGCCGCGUGGGUGAAGAAGGUCUUCGGAUCGUAAAACCCUGUUGUUAGAGAAGAAAGUGCGUGAGAGUAACUGUUCACGUUUCGACGGUAUCUAACCAGAAAGCCACGGCUAACUACGUGCCAGCAGCCGCGGCAAUACGUAGGUGGCAAGCGUUAUCCGGAUUUAUUGGACGUAAAGGGAACGCAGGCGGUCUUUCAAGGCUGAUGUGAAAGCCUUCGGCUUAACCGGAGUAGUGCAUUGGUAAA
rnacentral:rRNA from 1 species